rnacentral:rRNA from 1 species
CAAUAGCGUAUAUUAAAGCUGUUGCGGUUAAAAAGCUCGUAGUUGGGUUUCUGUCAAGGACAACUGGUCCGCCCUCCGGGUGAGCACAUAGUUUGGUCUUGGCACCUUGUUCAAAACUGUUACUGCGCUUGGUUGUGUGGUGCAGUUUUGGGCACUUUCACUUUGAGGAAAUUGGAGUGUUUCAAGCAGGCACAUGCCUUUGGACACAGUAGCAUGGAAUAAUUAGAUUGGGCUUUUGCUCCAACUUGUCGGUUCCUGGAGCUGAGGUGAGAAUCAAUGGGGAUUGUUGGGGGCAUCUGAAUUUAGCCGUCAGAGGUGAAAUUCUUGGAUCUGCUAAAGACGGACAACUGCGAAAGCGUUUGCCCAGGAUGUUUUCAUUGA